CUGAGAGGGUGGACGGCCACACUGGGACUGAGACACGGCCCAGACUCCUACGGGAGGCAGCAGUGGGGAAUAUUGCACAAUGGGCGAGCUGACGCAGCGACGCCGCGUGAGGGAUGAAGGCCUUCGGGCUGUAAACCUCUGUCAUUUGUGAAGAAGGGAAGUGACGGUACCUGCAGAAGAAGCGCCGGCUAACUACGUGCCAGCAGCCGCGGUAAUACGUAGGGCGC
rnacentral:rRNA from 1 species